CCAAUGUUCUUCGAUCGGCUCCGGCCGACCGACCACAUUACACCCCUUCUUUACGCGUACCUUUUGUUCUCCUUCGGCGGGGCGACCCGCCGCUGGAACCACAUCAAAACCUUUUUGCAUACAGCAUUACCUGUUCCGAUACCUAUAAUCGUUA
rnacentral:misc_RNA from 1 species